AUUCUUUGAUGUCCAGUCCGUUCUAUCAUCAAUUCUCGCAUCAAUUACUGGUACCACGAAUUCACUUCAAUUUCUUGUUAAUUUUAUUUUCAAAAAUAUUUUUAGUAUUUAGUGCUUUCAAAAAUGUGUAUUUAUUUAAAAUCAGACAAAUAUUCUCCACAUAAUCAUUUUACCGAAUUUGUUCUAAUAUGCUUAAAGUAAAUAUGUGAAGGAACUUUACCUCCCAUUCAUUACAGAGUGUGUAUUGUUUUGGUAGUAAUUUUCGAUGUCAUUCAGUGCCCGGGGCGCAUCACAUUCCAGUGUAUACUAUACACAAGCUGAAACUCCGCCCCUCUGUUGGUUGCAAAUGUCAAUCUUAAUUCCAAUGGUUGAGCAAACUUUCACACACAAAGCAAGCAAGCCAAACAAAUAAUUGUCUUGCUAGCAUUAAUGUAAAAGCUGUAAA
rnacentral:lncRNA from 1 species